UACGUAGGGUGCGAGCGUUGUCCGGAAUUACUGGGCGUAAAGAGCUCGUAGGUGGUUUGUCGCGUUGUUCGUGAAAACCGGGGGCUUAACCCUCGGCGUGCGGGCGAUACGGGCAGACUUGAGUACUGCAGGGGAGACUGGAAUUCCUGGUGUAGCGGUGGAAUGCGCCAGAUAUCAGGAGGAACACCGGUGGCGAAGGCGGGUCUCUGGGCAGUAACUGACGCUGAGGAGCGAAAGCGUGGGGAGCGAACAGG
rnacentral:rRNA from 1 species